GAGUUAUGGCUCAGGACGAACGCUGGCGGCGUGCCUAAUACAUGCAAGUCGAGCGGAUGAUGAGAGGAGCUUGCUUCUCUCUGAUUUAGCGGCGGACGGGUGAGUAACACGUGGGUAACCUACCUUAUAGAUUGGGAUAACUCCGGGAAACCGGGGCUAAUACCGAAUAAUACUUUUUAAACACAUGUUUGAAAUUUUGAAAGACGGUUUCGGCUGUCACUAUAAGAUGGACCCGCGGCGCAUUAGCUAGUUGGUGAGGUAACGGCUCACCAAGGCAACGAUGCGUAGCCGACCUGAGAGGGUGAUCGGCCACACUGGGACUGAGACACGGCCCAGACUCCUACGGGAGGCAGCAGUAGGGAAUCUUCCACAAUGGACGAAAGUCUGAUGGAGCAACGCCGCGUGAAGUGAAGAAGGAUUUCGGUUCGUAAAACUCUGUUGCAAGGGAAGAACAAGUAGCGUAGUAACUGGCGCUACCUUGACGGUACCUUGUUAGAAAGCCACGGCUAACUACGUGCCAGCAGCAGC
rnacentral:rRNA from 1 species